rnacentral:tRNA from 1 species
GGGGUGUUAGCUCAGUUGGCUAGAGCGACAGGCUGGCAGUCUGUAGGUCAAGGGUUCGAUUCCCUUACGCUCCA